UUAAGAAAGCAAGGGCAUACGGUGGAUGCCUAGGCGCUAAGAGCCGAAGAAGGACGCGGUAAGCUGCGAAAAGCUACGAGGAGUCGCAAGCAGACAGAGAAUCGUAGAUAUCCGAAUGGGAAAACCCUGCUGGAGUAAUAUCCAGUAAUCCGAUGCUGAAACAAAUAGGCAUGUGGAAGGCAACCCGGAGAACUGAAACAUCUAAGUACCCGGAGGAAAAGAAAGAAAACUCGAUUCCCCCAGUAGCGGCGAGCGAAAAGGGAAAAGCCCAAACCGGAUUUAUCCGGGGUUAGGACAUUCAAAAAGUAUCAGAGCCCAGUCGAAUGGUGUGGGAAAAUCAGCCAAAGAAGGUGAGAGCCCUGUAGACGAAAGGUAAAGAUAUGGGAAUGGAUCCAGAGUAGCACGGAGCACGAGGAAUUCCGUGUGAAGGAGCGGGGACCACCCCGUAAGGCUAAAUACUCCUUAGCGACCGAUAGAGAACAAGUACCGUGAGGGAAAGGUGAAAAGCACCUCGGAAGAGGAGUGAAAAAGAACCUGAAACCGUAUGCUUACAAUCAGUCACAGCCCUUAGGGGUAGUGGCGUACUUUUUGUAGAACGGACCAGCGAGUUACAUAUACUAGCAAGGUUAAGAAAUACGGAGCCAAAGCGAAAGCGAGUCUGAAAAGGGCGAAAAGUUAGUGUGUGUAGACCCGAAACCAGGUGAUCUACCCAUGAGCAGGUUGAAGCGUUAGUAAAAUAACGUGGAGGACCGAACCAGGACACGUUGAAAAGUGUUUGGAUGACUUGUGGGUAGGGGUGAAAUUCCAAUCGAACCUGGAGAUAGCUGGUUCUCCUCGAAAUAGCUUUAGGGCUAGCCUCGAAGAGAGAUAUAUGGAGGUAGAGCACUGAAUGGGUGCGGGGGCUUCACCGCCUACCAAAUCUUAUCAAACUCCGAAUGCCAUAUAUCAUAAUCGGGAGUCAGACUAUGGGGGAUAAGCUUCAUAGUCAAAAGGGAAAGAGCCCAGACCGCCGUCUAAGGUCCCCAAGUGAUUGUUAAGUGGAAAAGGAUGUGAAACCGCAGAGACAACCAGGAUGUUGGCUUAGAAGCAGCCAUCAUUAUAAAGAGUGCGUAAUAGCUCACUGGUCCAGGGGUUUUGCGCCGAAAAUGUAACGGGGCUCAAACAAUACACCGAAGACGCGGAAUGACGAAUGUCAUUGGUAGAGGAGCGAUCCAUAGAGGGAGAAGCCAACGUGAAAACGAAGGUGGACAAUAUGGAAGAGAGAAUGCUGGUAUAAGUACACGAUAAAAGAGGUGAGAAUCCUCUUCGCCGAAAAUCUAAGGAUUCCUGGGGAAGGCUCGUCCGCCCAGGGUAAGUCGGGACCUAAGGCAAGGCCGAAAGGCGUAGUCGAUGGAAAACAGGUAGAAAUUCCUGUACCACCGAAAGCCGUUAAGAGAGAAGCAAUGACGCAGAAGGAUAGAGAGAGCGCCCAGUUGGUGAGGCGUUUAAGUAAGUAGGGAGAAACGUAGGGAAGUCCGCGUUUUGAGAUCCUGAGAUACGAAUACGAGUGAAAAAAAGUAACGAAGUCCUCGAUUCCCCGCUGCCAAGAAAAGUUGCUAUCAAGGCUAGAGGUGCCCGUACCGCAAACCGACACAGGUAGAUAGGUAGAGAAUACUAAGGCGCGCGAGAUAACUCUUGUUAAGGAACUCGGCAAAAUAAACCCGUAACUUCGGGAGAAGGGUUGCUCUCCAUUGUGAGUACGCGCAGUACAGAGCAAAGGAGAGUCGCAGAGAAAAGGUCCAGGCGACUGUUUAGCAAAAACACAGGUCUUUGCAAAAUCGAAAGAUGAAGUAUAAAGGCUGACGCCUGCCCGGUGCUGGAAGGUUAAGGGGAAGAGUGCAAGCUUUGAACCGAAGCCCCAGUAAACGGCGGCCGUAACUAUAACGGUCCUAAGGUAGCGAAAUUAACGAUCUGGACGCUGUCUCAACAAGGGACUCGGUGAAAUUGAAAUACCGGUAAAGAUGCCGGUUACCUGCGAUAGGACAGAAAGACCCCAUGGAGCUUUACUGUAGCUUGAUAUUGGGUUUCGGACAUUUAUGUACAGGAUAGGUGGGAGACAGAGAGACGUGUUCGCCAGAAUGCGAGGAGUCACUGGUGGGAUACCACCCUUAAAUGUUUGGAAUUCUAACGAGGCGUGUUACCCACGUUUUGGACAGUGUCAGGUGGGCAGUUUGACUGGGGCGGUCGCCUCCCAAAAGGUAACGGAGGCGCUCAAA
rnacentral:rRNA from 1 species